rnacentral:rRNA from 1 species
UCGGAACGUGCCCCGGAGUGGGGGAUAACGCCGCGAAAGCGGCGCUAAUACCGCAUAUGCUCUGAGGAGGAAAGCGGGGACCUGUGAGGGCCUCGCGCUCUGGGAGCGGCCGAUGUCCGAUUAGCUAGUUGGUGGGGUAAUGGCUCACCAAGGCGACGAUCGGUAGCUGGUCUGAGAGGAUGAUCAGCCACACGUGGGACUGAGACACGGCCCAGACUCCGUAGGGAG